rnacentral:rRNA from 1 species
GUCUACUGCCAUGCCACCCUGAACAAGCCCAAUCCUGUCUGAUCUCGGAAGCUAAGCAGGGUCGGGCCUGGUUAGUACUUGGAUGGGAGACCACCUAGGAAGACUAGGUGCUGUAGGUG